CCCUGACUGUGAACCUGAGACAGCCCUGACUGUGAACCUGAGCCAGCCCUAACUGUGAACCUGAGCCAGCCCUGACUGUGAACCUGAGCCAGCCCUGGCUGUGAACCAGAACUCCCACAAGCGUUGGAUGUUUGCUUUCAAAGUGGCACAUUCAUUUUGACGGCUUCAAUGCUUUGUUGGAGAGCGUUAGUCCACACUCCACACACUGGGCUCUCGGCUCCGCCUCAUUACCUCCGUUUACGAAGCCGUACUUAAUAAAGUCAGGACGGUAUUUGCGCACAAGUUUGGACUUUUGAUGGCACAAAGAAUAUCGACAUCCAUUUGUGCAUCCGGUGAGGGGUAAAUGGGGGACAUUACGGCAAAGAGAAAGAUACCCCAGGUCUAAAUCAGGGUCGCCCCAACCCAACAGAAUCCACAAUCAUUUAUCACUCUGCCAUUUCCUAAAAGGAAUGUCAUUCUGCGGGAAAUCAAAACAAAAUCCCAAACAAGCUUCUUCUCUGGCAAUUUUCAUCCAUUUACUUGUCAGGCUGAGCUUUUAAAGACGCCAGACUUCAGCUGACACUCUUCAGCAGGCAAACAAAUUACAGAGCAACUCUUCAGCUGAGGACACAAAGACAAUCACAGACUCACAUUCACGUUCAUCCUUCAGUCAACAAACGCUGCCUUCGUGGUUGGCCCUUCAGCUGGUAAAUAUGAGCGCACGAGAGGGGGUCUUUUGGUUUAAACGCGGCAGCUAAUGAAUCUUUUACUCACCUCAGAGUGCUCAAACAAGGGACAAGAAGACUGGCAAACUGGUCAAUAAUCAGAUAUAAAAUAUGGCGAAUAACUCUCUUGAAAACCCGGCAAUCUCCUGUGAAAAGAGCAAAGAUAUUGUGUUUAUAACUUUGACGUUUAAUUCAUUUAAUUCAAUUAAUUUUAUUUUGUAUAGACCAAAAUCGCAAAUUACAAAUUUGCCUCAGAGGGCUUUACAGUCUGUACACAUACAACAUCCUCUGUCCAGAAACCCUCCAUCGGCACAGGAACAACUCCCCAAACAAUGAAAAAACCUUCCAAGAGGGAAAAAAAGGGUAGAAACCUUAGUGAGAAGGUCAGAGGAGGGAUCCGUCUCCUGAUGGACAGACUACAAUGGAUGCCAUGUGUACAGAACAAUGUAUAAUACAUGCAAUUACAUGACAUUGUGUUCAUCACCAUGGUUUGUGAUGGAAGAUUUGCACAGACAAUCGGAAAAUCUCUGUGGGUAACAUUUUAUUAACAUUUUAUUAACACAUUAACAUUAAUUAAUUUCUGAAUCAAAUGUCUUUCUCCAUUUAUUUCCUUGCUAGGAGACAAGGGUCACAACAGCUACGUGCUCAGUAGACUGUUACACAUUUUUGUCCCAUCACGUUAUUUUACAUUUAGUUUCUAGGCUCGUCUUAAAGGGAAGAGAAGUUUAAAGCAAGAUUAAAACUAAAGUGAAUGCAAAGAAGCAGGUAAACAUGAUAGAAGUGUUCCUGACUGCCACGCCCACCUGUGUCAGCGGGUCAAAGGUAGCAAAGGAAGCAAAUAGAGGGUAAACUAAAUCGGUCCAAGCCCAGAACCUUCUGGGACUCUGUGACCAACAUUGGUGGUCAUCGCUGAUCGACCAUUUACAAACACCAACUGGAUCGAUCCAAUAAAUACGACUAAAACCAGCUGAGGGCGGUUUGUUUAAUACCAGUCAAAUGUUCUAGUCUCUGCAACAGGAUACAACGAUCAAUUGUGUCAAAUGUGGCACUGAGGUCCAGUAAGACAAGAAAAGAGAUGAGUCCUUGGUCCGAUGAUUGAAACAUGAAAGAAAAAGUCAUUCAAAAAACAACGUUAAAAAACUAAAAAUAGAAUAAAUUCUGCAGUGUAGUUUAAAAGUACCAAAAUACUAAACACAGUAAAUUAAAAGCAGCAUCCAACAGAAGUCUUUAAUCUAGAUUUAAAGGAGCCGAGGGACUCCGAAAAGUACAGCGAGAACAAAGUGAUGUUAAUAUAUUUUAAUGCUGUGUUUAUGAAUACACAUCCAAGUUUGCCGAUCUUUGUUCUCUAUUUGUGUUUGAAGCAGAACAGGAGGAGAUCCUUUGUUCUUCUGAAGGGUUGGAAGAUUCUAUGAUAUAAAUAGCUCUUACCCACAGACGUUUGUCAUGGACAACUUGAUCUCCAGUUGUGAAUACUGAAGGUCACAAUAAUCUCACUUUUGUAGGACACCCGAGGAGUUGAAAGCUCCUGCUGAAGUCACUCUGGAGACUGAAGAUGACUUCCUCAUCAUCGUCCUCUUCCUCUCUCGUCACAUCUGAGUCUUCACAGGUAACUCUCUUCUGUUCCUUCUUCCUUAUUUGAGUCUUUUUUUAAUGAAGUAGAGCGUUGCUUCUCUUACAGCUGGACCUCCGUACUGGAGAAGCAUCUGGAAACUCUAACAAACACCUGUCACUAAAAGCAGUAAAGCACAGAGUGGGAAAGCAACUAAAUGAAGCUUAGGCGAAAAAACGGUUCUCCUCUCUUGUGCCGUCAGUUGUCAUUUCAGCUCGCUCCAAAGGUGACCCGCCACCACCCCCAAAGGUGACCCGCCACCACCCCCAAAGGUGACCCGCCACCACCCCCAAAGGUGACCCGUCACCACCGCCAAAGGUGACCCGCCACCACCCCCAAAGGUGACCCGCCACCACCGGCAAAGGUCACCCGCCACCACCCCGGACACCUCCAGUCUACAGCAGAACCUGGCGUAGCAGGAGAAUUAUGCAACGUGGGCUCUACCACCACCACCAGUGUCUGGACUCCCAAGGGGGGGAUGUGCCUCGUCUCGGCUCGAGAUCCCGGCCCCGGCUCUAUUCUGCGGCAGGAUGGAGUCCAAGCCCCAAACAACUUGCAAUAUCAUAUUAUACCUGUUAUAAUAAAGCAUUAUUCAAAUUUCAACAAGUCUCUCCGGAUUGAAUUACAUUUACUCAAAGGAGGACCAUUAUGAUGUACUCUUCUGUUUUCAGCUUCCUCCUGCCAGACAUAACAAGACAAAAUGAUGUCAAAAAGACUGUAAUUACAACAACAGGAUGUCCUGAAAACUGUGACAAAAACAACAAGAUGUUCACCAGACUGUGAUGAAGACAGAGCGUUCUUGAGAGAGGAGGAUGUGCCCUCAGGAUGAAGACCAUCGGGUGUCAGGGUAUUCAAUUGUAUAUUACUAAAGCUCGCUCAAUCACACACGCACCCCGCGCACACACACACACACACACACACACGCACACGCACACGCACACACGCACACACACACACACAUGCACACCCCCCGCGCACACACACGCACGCACACACGCACACACAUGCACACCCCCCGCGCACACACACACACGCACCCAUGCACGCACCCACACACACACGCACACACACACACCACCCCGCACGCACCCACACACACACGCACACACACACACCACCCCGCACACACACACACGCACACACACACACACACACGCACCCAUGCACGCACCCCGCGCGCACACACACACGCAUGCACCCCGCGCGCACACAUACACACACACACACGCACCCAUGCACGCACCCCGCGCGCACACACACACCCCCGCCCCCCCCCCUUUUACAUACACACAAACAGACGCACCCCAGGCCCUUUCGACCUCACCAUUCACAGAUGAAAGGAAACAGGUUUAAUUGUUUCAUGUGUAAUUCUUUUGGUUGCAGAACAAAAACAGCUCAUGUUCUUUUGAGGAUUCAUGUUUUCAGUCAGCAAUGUUCCCUUUAGCAUUAUAUUGUAUAAAAAAAUAUUCCUAUCUUUAUAUGUAUAGAGGUUAUAUAUCUGUAUACUAUAACACGGGUAGAUGCAAUCCAGUGUUCUGAUUGGUUGAGAGUGAGUCAUGGGGGCUCUAUAAUUGGGCGAUAAUGUACAGUACCUGUUCACAUUGACCGAACGUUCCACAUCACUGCGCACUCAAAGUAACAGGUUAGCUUUCGCGCGACUGAUUGACAUUUUAGCUUUUAGCUCGGUGCCGAUCGCAGAAAAAAGACCGAAAAAAGUCCCACAAAUGAUCAGUUUCAGGCAAUGCGAACUUUUGCAACCGGACAAUUAAGGUGGACGUCAUCGAAUGAACCCAAUGCGGUUUACAUGCACGUACAGGGAGUAUUUUUCUGUAGACUACUGAAAUGAGAUACACAAUGUUUGGUGGCUACAACUAUUUUGUGCUAAAAGGCAACUAUUUACUUAAUAUUUAUAAUUUCGCUGGUACCGUAUUAUAAAGGCAACUUAUUGCUUAAAUCUACAGAGGUUAUAUAUCUGUAUAUCUAUAGAGGUUAUAUAUCUUUAUACCUACAAAUGUCAUAUGUAUACCUACAAAGGUUAUAUAUCGGUAAGGUUGUAUGUCGUUAUGUCACAAAGUUGAUCGCACUUUUUUUUCAUCUUACCUGCAUGUUUUCUUACUCUUGUCAUUUCAGAUCAUCCCACAUUAUGAGCUCAUUACGCACACCUGGUUCUCACCUGCAGCACAUCCACUCAU
ensembl:lncRNA